UACGUAGGGGGCAAGCGUUGUCCGGAUUCACUGGGUGUAAAGGGCGCGCAGGCGGGCCUGCAAGUCAGGGGUGAAAUCCUACAGCUUAACUGUAGAACUGCCUUUGAGACUGCAGGUCUUGAGUACGGAAGAGAGAGACGGAAUUCCAGGUGUAGUGGUGAAAUACGUAGAUAUCUGGAAGAACACCAGUUGCGAAGGCGGUCUCUUGGUCCGAUACUGACGCUCAGGCGCGAAAGCGUGGGGAGCAAAC
rnacentral:rRNA from 1 species